rnacentral:snRNA from 1 species
GCUCACUUUGGCAGCGCAUGCACUAAAAUUGGAACAAUUCAGAGAAGAUUAGCAUGGCCUCUGUGCAAGGAUGGCACACAAAUUUGUGAAGCGUUCUGUAUUUUU